rnacentral:rRNA from 1 species
GAUGAACGCUGACAGAAUGCUUAACACAUGCAAGUCGAUUCAAGUUACCUUCGGGUAAUGAGGAUGGCGGACGGGUGAGUAACGCGUAAGGAACUUGCCUCUUGGUCUGGGACAACUGUUGGAAACGACAGCUAAUACCGGAUAUUAUGAGAUUCUCGCAUGGGAAACUUAUGAAAGCUAUAUGCGCCAAGAGAGAGCCUUGCGUUCCAUUAGCUAGUUGGUGGGGUAACGGCCCACCAAGGCGACGAUGGAUAGCCGGCCUGAGAGGGUGAACGGCCACAAGGGGACUGAGACACGGCCCUUACUCCUACGGGAGGCAGCAGUGGGGAAUAUUGGACAAUGGACCAAAAGUCUGAUCCAGCAAUUCUGUGUGCACGAUGAAGGUCUUCGGAUUGUAAAGUGCUUUCAGUUGGGAAGAAGCAAGUGACGGUACCAACAGAAGAAGCGACGGCUAAAUACGUGCCAGCAGCCGCGGUAAUACGUAUGUCGCAAGCGUUAUCCGGAUUUAUUGGGCGUAAAGCGCGUCUAGGCGGAAAAAUAAGUCUGAUGUUAAAAUGCGGGGCUCAACUCCGUAUUGCGUUGGAAACUGUUUUUCUAGAGUACUGGAGAGGUGGGCGGAACUACAAGUGUAGAGGUGAAAUUCGUAGAUAUUUGUAGGAAUGCCGAUGGAGAAGUCAGCUCACUGGACAGAUACUGACGCUGAAGCGCGAAAGCGUGGGGAGCAAACAGGAUUAGAUACCCUGGUAGUCCACGCCGUAAACGAUGAUCACUAG